GGAAAGUUAGUCCAACAUAAGACUCUUGAUUUCGGCUCAAAGAAUCACGGCUAGUACCCGUGACUUUCCU
rnacentral:tRNA from 1 species